AUUGAACGCUGGCGGCAUGCCUUACACAUGCAAGUCGAACGGCAGCGGGGGAGAAGCUUGCUUUUCCUGCCGGCGAGUGGCGAACGGGUGAGUAAUACAUCGGAACGUGCCCUGUAGUGGGGGAUAACUAGUCGAAAGAUUAGCUAAUACCGCAUAGGACCUGAGGGUGAAAGUGGGGGACCGCAAGGCCUCAUGCUAUAGGAGCGGCCGAUGUCUGAUUAGCUAGUUGGUGGGGUAAAGGCCUAACAAGGCGACGAUCAGUAGCUGGUCUGAGAGGACGAUCAGCCACACUGGGACUGAGACACGGCCCAGACUCCUACGGGAGGCAGCAGUGGGGAAUUUUGGACAAUGGGCGAAAGCCUGAUCCAGCAAUGCCGCGUGUGUGAAGAAGGCCUUCGGGUUGUAAAGCACUUUUGUCCGGAAAGAAAUGGCUCUGGUUAAUACCUGGGGUCGAUGACGGUACCGGAAGAAUAAGGACCGGCUAACUACGUGCCAGCCGCCGCAGUAA
rnacentral:rRNA from 1 species